rnacentral:rRNA from 1 species
AGAGUUUGAUCCUGGCUCAGGACGAACGCUGGCGGCGUGCUUAACACAUGCAAGUCGAGCGGAAAGGCCCUUCGGGGUACUCGAGCGGCGAACGGGUGAGUAACACGUGAGUAACCUGCUUGGCUCUGGGAUAGCUCCGGGAAACCGGAAUUAAUACCGGAUACGACCUCGGCCGACAUCGGCUGCGGUGGAAAGAUUUA